rnacentral:lncRNA from 1 species
UAUUGCCAGACUUGAUAAGUAGGCAGCACGUUGCCGACCUUAUUCCACAUACCACCUAAUAGAAUAUGGAUGAGAUUAAAGGAAAAAUUCAACUUGGUUUAGUGUACAAAUCUAGUGUAUAUGAAGUUCUUCGAAGAUAUUAAUAUAGUUGGUUGUUAUUUCUGUAGAUAGGACGAAAGCAUUUUUAAAGUCUUAGCUUACCCCCAUUGGGUGUAUGUUUGACUAUGACCUCAACGUGGUCUAAAAAUCAUCACAUUAAGCCGGUCACAAAAAAUUGAUGGGUCUUUGAUGUCAGAAAUCCCCCCUCACUACCACUAAAACUCAAAAAAACCAAACCACACCAAACUAAGCUGAAAUCAAUUCAUGGAGAAUCAUUUUAUUACUAUGGUUUGCAAACUUGAAGGUUAUGGUUGAACAUUUUUGGACGUAUUUAUCUAAAAAACAUAUGUUUAGUUCUUUAUGCAUUUAUUUGAAGUGUAGAUUUUCAUUUGUUGCUUGUUUUGGAUGUUUGAUACGAUUCUUUCUAAUAUAUUAGAAUGUGGAAUGAACAUGCAAGAUCUAUUUGUUAAUGUGUGCCAAAUAUAUGUUUCCUUGCUUUUAAGUUUUCUACUGUUUGGGUUUUUACUUUGUUCUAGUAUUGAAGAUAUUAAGUUGAAUUUAUUUCAUACAUGUGUUUGUGUGUGUUUAUGUUUUAAACUAUGGCCAAAUACACAUAAUUUAGAGGGUGGGUGGGUGGGUGGGAGGGGAAAGAUGUAUGCACUUUUUUCUCGCUAGUUAACUAGGGAAAUAAGACUAUGUUCUUUCUUUUCAUGGAGUUUUUCUUGCUAAUGAAAUACGGUUAUAUGCUCAAUGUAUGAAACUUGAUCCAAAGCUCAAUUGAGAGUCUUUGGCACGCUUUCAAGGUUUCUUCUUAUAUCUAUAUCCGAUUUGUGGCCUGGGGGGUGGGGGGGGGGGGGGGUGGGGGAGGGGAAAGAUGUAUGCACUUUUUUCUCGCUAGUUAACUAGGGAACAAGACUAUGUUCUUUCUUUUCAUGGAGUUUCUUGCUAAUGAAAUACAGUUAUGUGCUCAAUGUAUGACACUUGAUCCAAUGCUCAAUUGAGAGUCCUUGGCACGCUUUCAAGGUAUCUUCUUAUAUCUAUAUCCGAUUUGUGGCCUGGGAGGGUUAUCUUAGGUUUGUCUUGAUAUCUUCCAUUUUGUUCAUGUGAGAGCCUUUCUUGAGUUGAUUUGACACAACUCAUGCUGUUAUUGUCUGGGAUUUGCUUGCAAGUGUAGUUUACAGUGGAACUUACAUGCUCACCAACCAAGCCAGAAUAUGAGAUAAUUUAUCAUAAUAUUUAGAAUGUGAUAGCAAUUUAUAUGAUGCAAUCUCGAGUAUUGCCAUGAAACUGCAAAUUAUUAUAUAUUUGAUAAAUAAAAAUAAAAUAGAAAACCAAUAAUGCUAUAUAAAAUGAUAGGCCGCAAUGGCUUGCAUUAGCAUCAACCAUUCAUACCUUGGAUUGCAGGUUGAGUUUGAUGCACAUGGAAAAACUUUUGGAGUGAGCUCUGAAGGACAAACUGCCUAAGGCAAGAAAGUUGUCACAAUCUGUGAUACUUAUCACAUAAAGUAACGACUGAAAAACUAAAAAAGGGGUUCCACAUUGUCAUUAGUUAUGAUUAAUGAGUUCAUUACAUGCUUCUUCAAGUCUAAAUAACCUUCCAAAUGAAAUGUAACGACUAAUCAAGCUAUGCCAAUAUUGUCUUCAUUUCUAUUGCAUAUCGUUAUUUGACUUGCCAUUCUUUUUGAGAUGCAAACAUAGAACAUGUUUAGAAGGAUGGUAAAGUUGCUCGUGCUAUAUGCAUAAGGAGCCAUAUAAUGCUAGACACCAAUCACUCUCUGAUGGAUGAAAACGUGGGGGCUAAGUAUUUAGAUGCACAAAAUUGAGAGAAUGAAAGAGAAGAAGGAGAUAUUUCUAGGAAUCAUUCAUAGAAUUCCUUAGGCAUCAUACCUAGGGUUUUAGGCUUGAAUUGCGUCAUAACUUACAAGGAAGCAUUAAAGGUCUUGCUUUUUAAAAUAAACUCAACUCUAUUAACUUUUCGGCAUCACAUGGUUUUAUAUAGACUCUAGAGCCUUCCCUAUACCAACUAGGACUAGGAUUCCUAAAUUAAAAAAAAAAACUAACUAGUUCGACUUCUAAAACUUAUUAAAUACCGUAGUGGACUGACAAAUAAAAACCCAAAUAAACUGUCUUUUUGUAUUAUUGUUUGCUUGGACUGAGUUCUUUUUUCAUGCCUACUCUUGAAAGAAGCAUGUGCAACACGAAAUCUGUCAUUUUGGACAUAAUUUUGACGCUUGGGGGGUGAAAUGCAAAAUUUCGAAAACCACAAGGGAGCAAAAUGACUAUUUGUACAUGACAAGGGGUGAAAUACACCAUGGCCAAAUCACGAGGUAAAAUUGAUUUUUUCCCUUUAUUAUUUUAAUACGUUUGUCUUACUGCCUAGCCAUCUUGAGCCAGUUGCUUU